rnacentral:lncRNA from 9 species
AGGGUCCCAGCAAAGAGCUGCUGCGUUACUGGAUGACAGCAUGUGCACAAGCUCUGGGCCAGGUGGAUGGAAAUCACAUCGUUACAGGUUCCAAAAGGUGUGUCGGAAACAACCAAAGGGGGGAGGAGGCUGCGGAAAUCUGUGCUGACUCAGUUCUUGGGCUGCAAGAUGAAAGUUUCAAGACCGAAGCUGUCUCUGUAGAUUCCAUACCAAUCAUGCUAAUUGGAAACUGGAAAGAAAAAAUGGUCACAAUCAACACAUUUAUCAUCCAAAGGGCUGAGCAGUUCAUAAAUUUAAUCCAGCCACGGAAUUGGAAAAUAGAAUUGAUGCUUCUAAGAAUCAGGGGCGGGGGAAGGGGGGCCCUCUAAACAACCUUUUGCAGCCAGAUGGCUGGGAGUGCUUGAACAUAUUUUAUUUGAAGCUAUUAGAAAUAUGAAAAGGCAGCUUCCUCCUGGCCCCUGGCUGAAGUAUUGUAGCUUCUUUUUUAUGGUCUUUAUAAAAGAAGAGCAAUAAAGAGACACAAACGGGGUAGUUAAGUUUAAUGGCGGUAAAAACCAGACACCUGAAUAUAGGUAAUUUAUUUUUCUAAAAAACUCAGCCCAUUGAGGCUGCUAUUAAUUAGCAUGGAAAUGUAUCACAGAGUCAAGAUGGCAUGGGGUUUGCUACCUGGGCUUCUUUAUAAAAAGGAAAAACAAAGCAAUCAGAAAAAUCUCGCAUUUCAUUUUUGCAAGGAGGUGGGGAAAGUCACCCAUUAGCUUGGGGGCUUCACCUGGAAAAAUAAUUGUGUGAGAUCCCAGCUUUCCAGAAUUGCACAAAGACACCCUCCACCACGGGGACAGCAUGGGGAGCGGGAGGAGGGAGCUGCCCCAGCAUGGCCAGGGCCAGAGCUGCGAGCUCUACAUAGCAGAUGCUUGCAGUCGUUUCGCAGCUCAGGAAACCGAGGAUUAGAUGAGUUAUGUCCAACAAUAAUCAGUAUAUGGGCUGCAAUGAAUCAAGAACUUUAUUUGGGGUCUUAGGAAUUACAAUAUUGAAAGACACAGAUUAGGAUAAAACUGAAAGACACAGAUUAGGAUAAAACCGAAAGAGCAUUCAGGGAAGAGAAAGAGUCAAAGGCCUAUAAAGGCAAAAGCCACAAGGUUGUCUGGUAAGAAUUAUGAUUAUUGAGAGUUGCUUAGUACCCUAAGUACCUUGGGUUUCCGGAACAUUAUGCAGAUGUUCUGGAUGCAUGUGUUAAGACGGUAAAUGAUCACUUGAGAUAGAACAUGAUGGAAGAUAAUUUUUUUAAAUGUACAUAUAUUCUUUUAUAUAAUUUUUCAUAAUAUGAAAAAAAGAGUGCAUAUAUAUGUAUGACUGGGUCACACUGCUGUACAGCAGAAAUUGACGCAAUAUUGUCAAUCAACUAUAAUUAAGGAAUAAAAAAAAAGAAUUGCUUGUGUGCAUCUCAGUUCUCAAACGCACCUCUCACAGCAGCUCACUCUCACAAGCUCCGCCCCUCCUCAUUGAGGGACUUGGAACUUGCUUCUGAAGGC